rnacentral:misc_RNA from 1 species
CAGUGACAGCAAUACCCAGAGUAU